rnacentral:rRNA from 1 species
GACGAACGCUGGCGGCGUGCCUAAUACAUGCAAGUCGAGCGGAGCUGAACCAACAGAUUCACUUCGGUGAUGACAUUGGGAACGCGAGCGGCGGAUGGGUGAGUAACACGUGGGGAACCUGCCCCAUAGUCAGGGGGAUACCACUCUGGAAACAGGAGCAUAAGACCGGCAGUAAGUAAGGCGGCAUCGCCCUGAUCUGCUUAAAGAAAAGCGGUGAAAGGCUUUGGGCGAUGGGAUGGCCCCGCGGUGCAUUAGCUUGUUGGUGAGGGCAACGGCUUACCAAGGCGAUGAUGCAUAGCCGAGCUUGAGAGGGCGGAUCGGCCACACUGGGACUGAGACACGGCCCAGACUCCUGCGGGAGGCAGCAGUAGGGAAUUUUCGUCAAUGGGCGCAAGCCUGAACGAGCAAUGCCGCGUGAGUGAGGAAGGUCUUCGGACUCUGUAAAGCUCUGUUGCCGGGGAAAAAGGGGAAAUGCAGGAAAUGGCCUUUCAUUUGGGUAACCGGCCAGAAAGCACGGCUAACUACGUGCCAGCAGCCGCGGUAAUACGUAGGUGGCGAGCGUUAUCCGGAAUGAUUGGGCGUAAAGGGUGCGCAGGCGGUCUGUUAAGUCUGAAGUGCAAAGGGAUUGAGCUCAACUCAUUUAUGAUUCAGAAACUGGCAUACUUGAGUGACAGGAGAGGGCGGUGGAACUCCAUGUGUAGCGGUAAAAUGCGCAGAGAUAUGGGAAGAACACCAGUGGCGAAAGGCGGCCGCCCUGGCCUGUGACUGACGCUGAGGCACGAAAGCGUGGGGAGCAAUAGGAUUAAUACCCUAGUAGUCCACGCCGUAAACGAUGAGUGAGCAGGUGUUGGGAGUGAAAUCCCCUCAGUGCCGAAGCCAACGCAUACCCGCCUGGGGAGUAUGACACGCAAGUGUUGAAACUCAAAGGAAUUGACGGGGGCCCGCACAAGCGGUGGAGUAUGUGGUUUAAUUCGAAGCAACGCGAAGAACCUUACCAGGUCUUGACAUCUAGUGCAAUCCGUAGAGAUACGGAGUUCCCUUCGGGGACAUUAAGACAGGUGGUGCAUGGCUGUCGUCAGCUCGUGUCGUGAGAUGUUGGGUUAAGUCCCGCAACGAGCGCAACCCUUGUCAUUAGUUGCCAGCAUUAAGUUGGGCACUCUAAUGAGACUGCCGGUGACAAACCGGAGGAAGGUGGGGAUGACGUCAAGUCAUCAUGCCCCUUAUGACCUGGGCUACACACGUGCUAGGGAGUACAACGAGGAGCAAGCCUGCGAAGGCAAGCGAAUCUCUUAAAGCUGGUUCUCAGUUCGGACUGCAGUCUGCAACUCGACUGCACGAAGCUGGAAUCGCUAGUAAUCGCGGAUCAGCACGCCGCGGUGAAUACGUUCCCGGGCCUUGUACACACCGCCCGUCACACCAUGGGAGUCUGCAAUGCCCAAAGCCGGUGGCCUAACCUUCGGGAAGGAGCCGUCUAAGGCAGGGCAGAUGACUGGGGUGAAGCCGUAACAAGGUAGCCGUA